GCGGCCUUGGUGGAGAGGACCACCUUGCCCGGACCCAGGUCGCCGGAGGCCGGGGCGAUCUUCGCGCCCGGUUCGACGCCGAAGGCGGCG
rnacentral:tRNA from 2 species